rnacentral:rRNA from 1 species
AGCGAACGCUGGCGGCAGGCUUAACACAUGCAAGUCGAGCGGGCAUCCUUGUGGUGUCAGCGGCAGACGGGUGAGUAACGCGUGGGAACGUGCCCUUCGGUUCGGAAUAACUCAGGGAAACUUGAGCUAAUACCGGAUACGUGCGAGAGCAGAAAGGUUUAUCUGCCGAAGGAUCGGCCCGCGUCUGAUUAGCUAGUUGGUGAGGUUAUGGCUCACCAAGGCGACGAUCAGUAGCUGGUCUGAGAGGAUGAUCAGCCACACUGGGACUGAGACACGGCCCAGACUCCUACGGGAGGCAGCAGUGGGGAAUAGUGGACAAUGGGGGCAACCCUGAUCCAGCCAUGCCGCGUGAGUGAUGACGGCCUUAGGGUUGUAAAGCUCUUUUCUGCGGGACGAUAAUGACGGUACCGGAGGAAUAAGCCCCGGCUAACUUCGUG